rnacentral:rRNA from 1 species
GAUGAACGCUGGCGGCGUGCCUAAUACAUGCAAGUCGAGCGAACAGACGAGGAGCUUGCUCCUCUGACGUUAGCGGCGGACGGGUGAGUAACACGUGGAUAACCUACCUAUAAGACUGGGAUAACUUCGGGAAACCGGAGCUAAUACCGGAUAAUAUAUUGAACCACAUGGUUUAAUAGUGAAAGACGGUUUUGCUGUACCUUAAAGAUGGAUCCGCUCCGAUUUGCCUAGUUGGUAAGUUAACGGCUUACAAAGGGGACGAUGCUUAGCCGACCUGGAGGGGGGAUCGGCCACACUGGACCUGAGACACGGUCCAGACUCCUACGGGAGGAAGCAGUAGGGAAUCUUCCGAAUUGGGCGAAGGCCUGACGGAGCAAGGCCGCGUGGUUGAUGAAGGUCUUCGGAUCGUAAAACUCUGUGAUUGGGGAAGAACAAGUGUGUAAGUAACUAUGCACGUCUUGACGGUACCUAAUCAGAAGGCCACGGCUAACUACGUG